UGCCCAGCAAAAAUGAUUUUUUAAAAAGG
rnacentral:piRNA from 1 species